CGCCACCCAGGCGCCCCUUGGCCUCGAUCUUAAUCUUGCCUGCCGUUAAUGAUGUCACGCGGCUGUGUGUGUUGCUUGGAGUUUGCCUGGUAUAUUUUAGCUUGAUUUUUCGGAGUCUUUUUUUUCUUAUAAACUUUAUUUUGACGUAACUUGAAUCGACCGAGAGGCUGCAGAACUGGUGCUGAGAGUUCCUGGGCACUCCUCUCCCAGCUUCGCCUAAUGAAAGCAUCUUCCCUCAUCAGAGCACAGCCACCCAAGCAGGACGCUGGCAUCGGCACGAUAUCAGCAACGACGCAUAGACCUUAUUCGAAUGCCGCCAGUUUUUCCAAAGCCCCUGCUUUUAGGCACACUCAAGGCUAGGGGCACAGUCUUCCAGAUGGCAAAGUCUGCCCAAGCCUCCCGACACCCACUACGCAGUCCGAGGGCCCCCCGAGCCGCCCUCAGGUUGGACAGUUCGCUGAAGAGACGGAACUCACCGAAACCUGUUGGACUGUUGGUCAGGCUUGUUACGGGGGAGGAUACACAUCAGCGCCAGCCGCGGGGUGGACCGGCAGUGUUCCGAGAACAGAGUUUCUGGUCAUCCUCACUGAGCCCGACGGUGGUCUUGGGGAUCCCUGCCAUCAGUCCUGUGAAACUUGAUCACGUGUAGAGAUUGACGUGACCCUCGCUACAGUCAGGAUCCAGAACUGUCCCAUUUGCCUCCCGAACUCCUUCCUGCUCCCCCUCUUCCAGUCCCGCCCUCCUAACGCUGACCCCUGACAACCUGUCAUCCACUCUGUCACCUUGUCACUUCGAGGAUGUUAGGUAAAUGGAACCGUGCCAUACAUCACCAGUAAGACGGGUUUCUGCCACUCGGUGUGAUACCCAGGGGACCCACCCAGGAUGCGACGUGGACGCUCCUGAGCCCUCCACUGUGGGGGUGCCGCUCGUCGGCAGAAGGAGGCGUGGGUGGUUGUAAGAUGCGGCUCUUCCGAGUGAAGCUGCCGUGGGCACGAGGGUCUGUGCCUAGAGUGGUGAGCCUGGGUCACAGGCUAAGCGUGUGUUUGACCAGAUGGGACGCCAUCAGCCUCUUCUCCAGAGCGGCUGUGGUACCUCCCUGCCCUGUGACACAUCCGGGCACCGGUUGUCCCACAUCCUCGCCAGCCGUCAGUGUCCUGGGUGUGUUUUCACGCCAUUCGGAGAGGUGUGUUUACUGCCUCUAUGCCCUCUUAAGAGCUUGUGCCCUUUUUCUGUUUUUUUUUAAUUGUUAAAUUUUAAUUUUUUAAAUUUUGGAUCUGAGUCGAUUGUUGGGUUUGUGAUUUGAAAAUACAUAUUUUCCAGGUUUUUUGUUUUUUUUUUUUUUUUUUAAUUCUCUCCACUGGUGACUUUCAUGGACAAAAUGCUUUCACUUUUGUUGGAAUCCAGUUAGUUUUUUUUCCUGGAUUAAAAAAAACUUUUUUUUUUUUUUUUUUAACUCAAGCCUCAUUUACCAUGUUAGGUUAGUUGCAGCUAUACAACACAAUGAUUCAACAAUUCUCUAUAUUUCUUGGAGUUCUUUAAGGUCUGUACCUAAAUUUUUUUUUUUUAAUUCCAGUAUAGUUGGAUUGCAGAGUGAUGUUAGUUGCAGGUGUACAAGACGGUGACUCAGCACGUCUGUACGUCACCCCGUGCGCCUCAUGGUAAGUCCUUACCCAUAAUCC
rnacentral:lncRNA from 1 species